rnacentral:rRNA from 1 species
GUGCCAGCAGCCGCGGUAAUACGGAGGGUCCGAGCGUUAAUCGGAAUUACUGGGCGUAAAGCGUGCGCAGGCGGUUUGUUAAGCCAGAUGUGAAAUCCCCGGGCUCAACCUGGGAAUUGCAUUUGGAACUGGCGAACUAGAGUCUUGUAGAGGGGGGUAGAAUUCCAGGUGUAACGGUGAAAUGCGUAGAGAUCUGGUAGGGUUACCGGUGGCGAAUGCGGCCCCCUGGACAAAGACUGACGCUCAUGNACGAAAGCGUGGGGAGCAAACAGGAUUAGAUACCCUGGAAGUCC